GCUUCGAUGGUGGAAUUGGUAGACACGCUGUCUUCAGGUGGCAGUGUCCUUAGGAUGUGCGAGUUCGAGUCUCGCUCGAAGCACCA
rnacentral:tRNA from 2 species